rnacentral:rRNA from 1 species
UGCAGUCGAGGGGCAGNAUGGUCUUAGCUUGCUAAGGCCGAUGGCGACCGGCGCACGGGUGAGUAACACGUAUCCAACCUGCCGUCUACUCUUGGACAGCCUUCUGAAAGGAAGAUUAAUACAAGAUGGCAUCNUGAGUCCGCAUGUUCACAUGAUUAAAGGUAUUCCGGUAGACGAUGGGGAUGCGUUCCAUUAGAUAGUAGGCGGGGUAACGGCCCACCUAGGCUUCGAUGGAUAGGGGUUCUGAGAGGAAGGUCCCCCACAUUGGAACUGAGACACGGUCCAAACUUAUACGGGAGGCAGCAGUGAGGAAUAUUGGUCAAUGGGCGAGAGCCUGAACCAGCCAAGUAGCGUGAAGGAUGACUGCCCUAUGGGUUGUAAACUUCUUUUAUAAAGGAAUAAAGUCGGGUAUGCAUACCCGUUUGCAUGUGCUUUAUGAAUAAGGAUCGGCUAACUCCGUGCCAGCAGCCGCGGUAAUACGGAGGAUCCGAGCGUUAUCCGGAUUUAUUGGGUUUAAAGGGAGCGUAGAUGGAUGUUUAAGUCAGUUGUGAAAGUUUGCGGCUCAACCGUAAAAUUGCAGUUGAUACUGGAUAUCUUGAGUGCAGUUGAGGCAGGCGGAAUUCGUGGUGUAGCGGUGAAAUGCUUAGAUAUCACGAAGAACUCCGAUUGCGAAGGCAGCCUGCUAAGCUGCAACUGACAUUGAGGCUCGAAAGUGUGGGUAUCAAACAGGAUUAGAUACCCUGGUAGUCCACACGGUAAACGAUGAAUACUCGCUGUUUGCGAUAUACGGCAAGCGGCCAAGCGAAAGCGUUAAGUAUUCCACCUGGGGAGUACGCCGGCAACGGUGAAACUCAAAGGAAUUGACGGGGGCCCGCACAAGCGGAGGAACAUGUGGUUUAAUUCGAUGAUACGCGAGGAACCUUACCCGGGCUUAAAUUGCAGAUGAAUUACGGUGAAAGCCGUAAGCCGCAAGGCAUCUGUGAAGGUGCUGCAUGGUUGUCGUCAGCUCGUGCCGUGAGGUGUCGGCUUAAGUGCCAUAACGAGCGCAACCCUUGUUGUCAGUUACUAACAGGUUCCGCUGAGGACUCUGACAAGACUGCCAUCGUAAGAUGUGAGGAAGGUGGGGAUGACGUCAAAUCAGCACGGCCCUUACGUCCGGGGCUACACACGUGUUACAAUGGGGGGUACAGAGGGCCGCUACCACGCGAGUGGAUGCCAAUCCCAAAAACCUCUCUCAGUUCGGACUGGAGUCUGCAACCCGACUCCACGAAGCUGGAUUCGCUAGUAAUCGCGCAUCAGCCACGGCGCGGUGAAUACGUUCCCGGGCCUUGUACACACCGCCCGUCAAGCCAUGGGAGCCGGGGGUACCUGAAGUGCGUAACCGCGAGGAGCGCCC